rnacentral:misc_RNA from 1 species
ACCUACUGUUUAAUUUUGAGGGUUCGUUUUUACGAAUACUCAAAAUUAGCACUUUUAGCAACAGAAUAAACUGAACGCAUGUGAAGUUUGUUUGUUGGCGCUGUGCGUUAGCACUUUAAGCAACGGAAUUUAUUCGUUGGCGCCGUGCUUUAGCACUUUGAAAACUGCAUAUAUAUUUAGUGAUAUGACAUCUAAUUUGUAAUAUAUAAAGCUGAUAACUUUUUAAAAUUAUCGAAGUUGAUAGCUUCUAAUCUAUCAAACCUUUUUAACUGGUCAA